UGGACGGUGAGAGGAGCUCUACAACCACUUAAAGCUGCUUUGUGGUAAGAUCUGUUAUUAAAACGCUAUAGAGAUAAAACUGAAUUGAACUUGAUUUAGCGUACUAGUAUGAAAACCAUCACAUACGUCUCGUUGGCUCACUUAUGUCAAAAUGGCUCCGCGACACGUGACCCAGACGAGUGUUUGUAAACACGCGUCCAAAGCAUGUGAUUGCGAUGACGCAAAAAGGCGGCGACGAAUAGGAAGCUGGGGGUGUGUGAAAGUGGGGCGGGGUUCAAAUGUGGCGCUGUGGAAAUUCUGAUGCGCUCUCACAAGGUGUUUCGGACAUCUCGGAAACGCUGAACGGACACUGAAGCAGCGGCGCGACGAUGCUCUAGAAGUAAAUAAGCAAGUGAAAUGACUGUGGAAGUGCGUAAAAUACGAAUAACACGGUUAUUCAGGGGCACGGAAACGAUUGCACUCAUCAGUCCUUCUUCCAGUUAAUCAAGAGUGAAGAGUGCUCCCAGGCACACGGGAUAUGGCACAAAACCAAGGACAAGUGGGAGACACCUGACCAGUCAGCCAGUUCUGUCAGGACUGAUAAAAGGAAUGUUUUGCAUAUUCCUGAAGAAUCAUCUCUGGGUGGAGACAAGAGAAAUGUAGAGGUUUGUACAUGUCCACCUAAUGGAAUGUAUAUAGGAAAUGUGCGCAAACUAGGUUGAGAAACAAGUAUCCAUUGUCUGGUCAAAAAUGUAAGCUAAGGCUGUUGGAACUGUAGUCAUAAAUGUGAAUUAACAUUUUAUGCACUUGUUUGACAUGUAAAACUUGCAAUAUGUUGCUGAUGGAACAUUGUGUAGAAAGUUAAUAAAUGUGUCUUACAUUCAUUUUUCUGUUUUAUGUUUG